rnacentral:lncRNA from 1 species
UCUAGCUGUCAGGAAAUUUUUGACAACCUACUGGAGAAAAUGCGUCCGUAAGAGAAUAAUUCUACAUAUGUUAUAAUACAAUGUGGUACGGAAUCUGACAGAGGUGCUCACCAAGUGAUUUGAGAGAAUAGAAGGGUCAAUUAGUUUGACUUCAGAAGAAUGAGCUUGUCUUGAAAGGUGGGAACAAGAACAAAAAUGGCUUUAGAAUCUGCAUUCCACUGACUUUUAAAGAUGAACAGUGAACACCUGGAUCAAAGCGAAUUAUUGUUCUUCUCUUAUCUUCCGCUGCUUUAUCAUGGUUACCUGGAGCCAGGCUGGAGGGAGAGAUUCAUACUUGCCUAAAUGGAACAUAUUAUUCCCUGGCCAACCUAAUGAUGAUGUCUGAUGUCUGGACCCGACCAACUUGGAACUAUCAAAAGGCCAAAUUCUGUUGUCUCAACCAAGAAAACCUAUGCUUUUGCGUCUUUCCAAGAGUGAACCUGUACCAUACUUUAUGCCCUUAGGCUCUGAACUCAGGUUACCUGGGUUAGAAACUUGUCUCCAUCAUUUACUAGCUGUGUAAGUUCCAGCAAGUUAUAAACUUCAGCUCCAUAUCUGUAAAAUGGUGACUGUCAUAGUAAAGUUGCAUUGAUGGAGUUAAGCAAAGAAGACUUUAUUCAAGACUAUUGAAAUAGAAGAAAUAAUUUAAGGUUAAUUCUUCUGAAACAGGUAGGGGUUUUUUAAGCCUUGAGGUGAGCAGGUGGAAAAGUACUGGAGGAAACUGGGGAGGUUGGUUAAUGUGAUAAGG